UGUUGAAAAAUUCAUCCAUUUUUACUGUUCAAAAUUGGUACGACAAACAAAAUAACCAAACAAUGAUAAGUGGUAUGUCACAUGUACCUCAUGUUGGCAUAUAUGGACUAACUUUUAACAGUAAAAAUGAUGAAAUUUUUAACA
rfam:Gossypium arboreum cultivar AKA8401 contig_29124_5, whole genome shotgun sequence.